rnacentral:rRNA from 1 species
GACGAACGCUGGCGGCGUGCUUAACACAUGCAAGUCGAACGGAAAGGCCCUGCUUUUGUGGGGUGCUCGAGUGGCGAACGGGUGAGUAACACGUGAGUAACCUGCCCUUGACUUUGGGAUAACUUCAGGAAACUGGGGCUAAUACCGGAUAGGAGCUCCUGCUGCAUGGUGGGGGUUGGAAAGUUUCGGCGGUUGGGGAUGGACUCGCGGCUUAUCAGCUUGUUGGUGGGGUAGUGGCUUACCAAGGCUUUGACGGGUAGCCGGCCUGAGAGGGUGACCGGCCACAUUGGGACUGAGAUACGGCCCAGACUCCUACGGGAGGCAGCAGUGGGGAAUAUUGCACAAUGGGCGGAAGCCUGAUGCAGCAACGCCGCGUGCGGGAUGACGGCCUUCGGGUUGUAAACCGCUUUCGCCUGUGACGAAGCGUGAGUGACGGUAAUGGGUAAAGAAGCACCGGCUAACUACGUGCCAGCAGCCGCGGUGAUACGUAGGGUGCGAGCGUUGUCCGGAUUUAUUGGGCGUAAAGGGCUCGUAGGUGGUUGAUCGCGUCGGAAGUGUAAUCUUGGGGCUUAACCCUGAGCGUGCUUUCGAUACGGGUUGACUUGAGGAAGGUAGGGGAGAAUGGAAUUCCUGGUGGAGCGGUGGAAUGCGCAGAUAUCAGGAGGAACACCAGUGGCGAAGGCGGUUCUCUGGGCCUUUCCUGACGCUGAGGAGCGAAAGCGUGGGGAGCGAACAGGCUUAGAUACCCUGGUAGUCCACGCUGUAAACGGUGGGUGCUAGGUGUGGGGUCCAUUCCACGGGUUCCGUGCCGUAGCUAACGCUUUAAGUACCCCGCCUGGGGAGUACGGCCGCAAGGCUAAAACUCAAAGGAAUUGACGGGGCCCCGCACAAGCGGCGGAGCAUGCGGAUUAAUUCGAUGCAACGCGUAGAACCUUACCUGGGUUUGACAUGGAUCGGGAGUGCUCAGAGAUGGGUGUGCCUCUUUUGGGGUCGGUUCACAGGUGGUGCAUGGCUGUCGUCAGCUCGUGUCGUGAGAUGUUGGGUUAAGUCCCGCAACGAGCGCAACCCUUGUUCACUGUUGCCAGCACGUUAUGGUGGGGACUCAGUGGAGACCGCCGGGGUCAACUCGGAGGAAGGUGGGGAUGACGUCAAGUCAUCAUGCCCCUUAUGUCCAGGGCUUCACGCAUGCUACAAUGGCUGGUACAGAGAGUGGCGAGCCUGUGAGGGUGAGCGAAUCUCGGAAAGCCGGUCUCAGUUCGGAUUGGGGUUUGCAACUCGACCUCAUGAAGUCGGAGUCGCUAGUAAUCGCAGAUCAGCAACGCUGCGGUGAAUACGUUCCCGGG